CUUUAUGGAAACUGCCUACAUGAUUAUCAGAUUUUCUCCAGAAAUACUCAGCUACUAGUAUAUACCAGUACAGAAUAACGCUGGUCCAGAAUUAGGUUUUCAUUGUAAAAAUAAAGGCAGGCAUCUGAAUUUGGAGAACCUGAUCUUGGACCAGGUUUGCUCAGAAAGAACUAGGCCCACAAUUGAAAGCUGCCUCUGGUUCAGAUGGGGGAGAAGAGGUAGGGGUUGGCUGAGAAGGCUGGCAGGGUAGAGUCUCGACUGAAAUCUGCCACGUAUGG
rnacentral:lncRNA from 1 species